GUCUGACCUCGGAUCAGGUGGGAUUACCCGCUGAACUUAAGCAUAUCAAUAAGCGGAGGAAAAGAAACUAACAAGGAUUCCCCUAGUAACGGCGAGUGAAGCGGGAUGAGCUCAAAUUUGAAAUCUGGUAGUCUUUGGCUGC
rnacentral:rRNA from 1 species